UCCGGGGUAGCUCAAUUGGCGGAGCAGGGGACUGUUAAUCCCAAGGUUGUGGGUUCGAGUCCCACCCCCGGAG
rnacentral:tRNA from 1 species